rnacentral:ncRNA from 2 species
GGAUGAGUCAGAGGUCGCGGGAUUCAUGAGUAACCUGACGGAGAGGGCAGAACUCGAGGAGGUCAGGGGAAAGGGGAGACCGCCGAAGUGACAAUAGAUCUGCGCUAUUGUUGCUGGGACCGGGCAGAAGAUGUCCGGGACUGUCAUUAGGAAAUCCCCGUUUCCUAAUGGAGCACUGACUCAUUU